rnacentral:rRNA from 1 species
CAUGCAAGUCGAGCGGUAGCACAGAGAGCUUGCUGUCGUGUGACGAGCGGCGGACGGGUGAGUAAUGUCUGGGAAACUGCCUGAUGGAGGGGGAUAACUACUGGAAACGGUAGCUAAUACCGCAUAAUGUCGCAAGACCAAAGUGGGGGACCUUCGGGCCUCAUGCCAUCAGAUGUGCCCAGAUGGGAUUAGCUAGUAGGUGGGGUAACGGCUCACCUAGGCGACGAUCCCUAGCUGGUCUGAGAGGAUGACCAG